AACGAACGUUGGCGGCGUGGAUUAGGCAUGCAAGUCGUACGAGAACCGCUGGGUAACUGGCGGGGAAAGUGGCGAAAGGGGCAGUAAGGCGUGGGUAACGUACCCCUGGGACUGGGAUAGCCACGGGAAACCGUGGGUAAUACCGGGCGACGUAGCGGCAGGGCAUCUUGCGGCUACCAAACGGUCCGCCGCCUGGGGAGCGGCUCACGUGGUAUUAGCUAGUUGGUAGGGUAAUGGCCUACCAAGGCCAAGAUGCCAGCUGGUGUGAGAGCAUGACCAGCGCCACUGGCACUGAGACACUGGCCAGACACCUACGGGUGGCUGCAGUCGAGGAUCUUCCGCAAUGGGCGCAAGCCUGACGGAGCGACGCCGCGUGUGCGAUGAAGGCCU
rnacentral:rRNA from 1 species